rnacentral:rRNA from 1 species
CUUCGGGUGCUGACGAGUGGCGGACGGGUGAGUAAUGCGUAGGAAUCUGUCUUUUAGUGGGGGACAACCCAGGGAAACUUGGGCUAAUACCGCAUGAGCCCUGAGGGGGAAAGCGGGGGAUCUUCGGACCUCGCGCUAAGAGAAGAGCCUACGUCUGAUUAGCUAGUUGGUAGGGUAAAGGCCUACCAAGGCGACGAUCAGUAGCUGGUCUGAGAGGACGACCAGCCACACUGGGACUGAGACACGGCCCAGACUCCUACGGGAGGCAGCAGUGGGGAAUUUUUCGCAAUGGGGGCAACCCUGACGAAGCAAUGCCGCGUGGAUGAAGAAGGCCUUCGGGUUGUAAAGUCCUUUCGUGGGGGACGAAAAGGUGGUUCCUAAUACGAGCUGCUGUUGACGUGAACCCAAGAAGAAGCACCGGCUAACUCCGUGCCAGCAGCCGCGGUAAUACGGGGGGUGCAAGCGUUAAUCGGAAUCACUGGGCGUAAAGGGUGCGUAGGCGGUACGUUAGGUCUGUCGUGAAAUCCCCGGGCUCAACCUGGGAAUGGCGGUAGAAACCGGCGAACUAGAGUAUGGGAGAG